rnacentral:misc_RNA from 1 species
GAUUUUUCCAACUCCCUUUAAGAUAAAGUAAAUUGUGAAUAUUGCAUAUGAAUUUGUGGAUUUCCUGGUUAAAGAUUGCAGCAUACGUUCUCACCCUAACCACAACAAUUUUGAUUAUUAUUAGCCAUUGUUCUACCUCAAAUAACAUAUUAUUGUUGUUUAGUUUAUCAUUUCAAAAAUGUUCUUUGAUCAAACUAUGCCUUGC